rnacentral:rRNA from 1 species
UACGUAGGGUCCGAGCGUUGUCCGGAAUUAUUGGGCGUAAAGGGUGCGUAGGUGGUGAUGCAAGUCUGGUGUGAAAUCUCGGAGCUCAACUCCGAAAUUGCACCGGAUACUGCGUGACUCGAGGACUGUAGAGGAGAUCGGAAUUCACGGUGUAGCAGUGAAAUGCGUAGAGAUCAGCAGGAACACCCGUGGCGAAGGCCGGCCCCCUGGGGCCGAACCUGACGCUGAGGCGCGAAGGCUAGGGGAGCGAACGGG